rnacentral:pre_miRNA from 1 species
AGUGGGAUAGCUGGGUCAAAUGGUGGUUCCAUCCAAGUUUUCAAAGGAAUCUUCAUAGUGCUUUCCACAAUGAUUGCACCAAUUUGCAGCCUCACCAGCAAU